rnacentral:lncRNA from 1 species
AAUAUCGAAAACCGCAGGAAAGAAAGCCCCGGCCUGGUAUUUUAUUUUGACCGGCAGAAGCUGAACCCGAACCAAACCCUAAGCAAAGAAGGGAUGUGCCUUAGUUCAGUCUCGAGGACGGGAUAAUAGGGGCGUAGCACCGAAUAUGUCGGAGUAGUCCCACCCAGUAGAUGGACAAGCCAGUAGUACCAAUCAAGGAAGCCUUGAACUCUAGAGCUUUCUUUCCUGAUGGGGACAAAGAAAAGGAGACGAACAUAGCUAAACAGCUGCAGCAGAAAGAACGAAAAGCCAAAAGUCAAGGUGCAUAGCGGUCUUUUCAAGAAUAGGGGAGUACAGAAUAAGGGGUUUGCAAGACAAAAGAGAAUCCGCUGGAACUACGGACAAGGAUAUUUUACUCAAUUCCCCUCUUACUAUUUUAAAAAGCGGAA